UAGGGAAUCUUCCGCAAUGGGCGAAAGCUUGACGGAGCAACGCCGCGUGAGUGAUGAAGGUCUUCGGAUCGUAAAACUCUGUUAUUAGGGAAGAACAAAUGUGUAAGUAACUAUGCACGUCUUGACGGUACCUAAUCAGAAAGCCACGUCUAACUACGUGCCAGCAGCCGCGGUAAUACGUAGGUGGCAAGCGUUAUCCGGAAUUAUUGGGCGUAAAGCGCGCGUAGGCGGUUUUUUAAGUCUGAUGUGAAAGCCCACGGCUCAACCGUGGAGGGUCAUUGGAAACUGGAAAACUUGAGUGCAGAAGAGGAAAGUGGAAUUCCAUGUGUAGCGGUGAAAUGCGCAGAGAUAUGGAGGAACACCAGUGGCGAAGGCGACUUUCUGGUCUAUAACUGACGCUGAUGUGCGAAAGCGUGGGGAUCAAACAGG
rnacentral:rRNA from 1 species